rnacentral:rRNA from 1 species
AACGAACGCUGGCGGCGUGUUUAAGACAUGCAAGUCGCACGGGGGAAUUUUGGUAGCAAUAUUAGGAUUUCUUAGUGGCGCACGGGUGAGUAACACGUGAAUGACAUGCCCCGCAGAGGGGGAUAACCCGGGGAAACCCGGACUAAUACCCCAUGGUAUCGCGAGAUUAAAGGUGGCCGCAAGGCUGCCGCUGCGGGAUUGGUUCGCGUUCUAUCAGCUUGUUGGGGGGUAACGGCCCACCAAGGCUACGACGGAUACCUGGUCCGAGAGGACGAUCAGGCACACUGGAACUGAGACACGGUCCAGACACCUACGGGUGGCAGCAGUCGAGAAUAAUUCACAAUGGGGGCAACCCUGAUGGUGCAACGCCGCGUGGAGGAUGAAGGUCUUCGGAUUGUAAACUCCUGUCAUCCGGGAGUAAGACCUGGGCAUGAAUAGUGCACAGGGUUGAUAGUACCGGAAGAGGAAGGGACGGCUAACUUCGUGCCAGCAGCCGCCGUAA